CCAAACCUAACGCAUCGUUUUGCCUGAACUCCUCUCCUUUUGUUUCCUUUUCUCUUUCUUCUUCUCCAGGUCGCCUCUUCCAACACUUAAAAGCUGUAACUAUUUCUGUUUGUGAACAGAUUGAUAGGUGUCUAAUGCCACCAGAUGGACCAGAUUCAUGGCCAGAAGUAGAUAGCCAAAAGCAAUGGCUAGUUUUUAUAAACUUGAUGGUAGGACUCUUACUGGAAAAGGAACUAUUGAAGGCAAUGGAGACAAGUGGCGGGAUCUACCCUGCAAACCUCAUAGGGGUCCUAAUGGAGGAUCCUCGAAAAGACCAUGGGACAUCACUGCACUAAUUCGGUUCUUCAUGAGCUCUAAUAUGAUCGGGUGAAAGUGCUGAAGAGGCGACCCGGAGAAGAAGAAAGAGAGGAGGAAAAGAAAGGAGAGGGGUUCAGGCAAAACAGUGCGUUUUGAGUAGAGGUUUGGGGUUAAGUUAGUUUAACCCUGUGUCAGUGUGUGAGACCUAUAUUUGUAUAGUUUAUUGAUUGUUAGACAUUAAUUUUAAAUUAGGAUAUAAUUAUUACAAAACAUUCAAAUUGAGUUAAGGUCAAGAUCAAAAUGGAGUACCAAAGUUCAGGAACUUUAAAUGAAAUACUCUUUCUUAU